UACGGAGGGUGCAAGCGUUGUUCGGAAUUAUUGGGCGUAAAGGGCAGGUAGGUGGUCUUGAAAGUCUGCUGUGAAAUCCCCGAGCUUAACUUGGGAAGUGCGGCAGAUACUCCAAGACUAGAGUACUGGAGGGGUUCGUGGAAUUCCCGGUGUAGCGGUGAAAUGCGUAGAGAUGUGGAGGAACACCGAUGGCGAAGGCAGCCCCCUGGGUCAAGAUUGACGCUCAUGCACGAAAGCGUGGGGAGCAAACAGGG
rnacentral:rRNA from 1 species